AUAAAUGCUUGGAAAAAGAAUAGUAGCAAGCGAUAGUACUUAAAGAGAGCUGAUGGUUGGUGCAAAUCAGUAGUACAUACUUGUGAAUGGGCUUUGGAGCAGCCUCAUCAAAUAUGAGGACGAAUUUACUCCCCGUUACCGGAGUACGAAAGAGCGCAUUUUUUUGCGAAUUAAGGUGGCACCACGGUUACUCGUCCUUUUU
rnacentral:ncRNA from 1 species